CUACGGGGUGCUGCAGUGGGGAAUAUUGCACAAUGGGGGAAACCCUGAUGCAGCAACGCCGCGUGGAGGAUGACGCAUUUCGGUGUGUAAACUCCUUUUAUAUAGGAAGAUAAUGACGGUACUAUAUGAAUAAGCACCGGCUAACUCCGUGCCAGCAGCCGCGGUAAUAGGAGGGUGCAAGCGUUACUCGGAAUCACUGGGCGUAAAGCGCGCGCAGGCGGCCCCUUAAGGUGGAUGUGAAAGCCUACGGCUUAACCGUAGAACUGCAUCCAAAACUGAGGGGCUAGAGUCUGGGAGGGGAAGAUGGAAUUAGUUGUGUAGGGGUAAAAUCCGUAGAGAUAACUAGGAAUACCAAAAGCGAAGGCGAUCUUCUGGAACAGUACUGACGCUGAGGCGCGAAAGCGUGGGGAGCAAACAGGAUUAGAUACCCCCGUAGUC
rnacentral:rRNA from 1 species